GAGCUCAUUUUGGCAGCACGUACAUUAAAACUGGAACAAUACGGAGAUUAGUAUGGCCCCUGCAUACGGAUGACACAUAAAUUCAUAAAGAGUUCCAUAUUAAA